UGCAUAUGCAAAUUUGCUGUACUCAAAGAGGAUUUCCUCCUCUAACCUUAAUCCUAGCGGCCUCGGCAAAUCUGCGGUCAUGGCUGGAUCUGAGGAGGAUUUACUGUCACCAGGUCAUCUGAAUGGCACAAAUGUAAACACUUUCAACAUUUAUAGAAAUCUGAGCGGUACUAUUCACCAAAGAAGUCGAAUGAUGCGUCUGCAACAACGCUGUCAGGAGCUGAAGAACAGAGAGAGUGCAGCCCGACAUCACAACCAGCAGCUGCUUCAGCAGUUUAACAGGGCUCAAGACACACUAAGAGAGAUGAUGGCCACCACUGCUGCCAUGAAGACGAUUCGGAUGGAGUAUGAGCCGUUUCUGGAGGAGAGCUCUCCCUACAGGCAGAAGCAACUCAAAGAGAAAGCACAAAUUCAUCACAGGAAGAGGAUGGAAGAGUAUUUAAAGAUGUCCACGACUUCUGUUGGAAAACCUUUAUAUUCUCAUAGUUGUAGCAGACAGACGCAGAGAGAUGCUGCUACACAAGCGUACGACGGACAAGGGGGUUCUUAUCCUCCCUACAUGGAGUGUCUUUCUUCUCAUUCCUAUUCAGACCGGACUAUCGCAGCUUCCAUAUUCCCUCCGACUUUACUUCCAUGUCCUCAGAGCUUCCAGCUGCAGCACCUCAUUGCCACUCCAUCACACCCCCAAUGCAGGCCCAGUCAAAAUACACCAGGCUGUACUCCCAGUCAGGCCAAGAGCCCCCGGUCGUCGGUGGUGUCCGAUGCAGAGGACACUGAGAUAAGCAGCAGCUCAAGAAGAAAGAGCAGUCAUUUAUCCCAGGAGCUGGAUUUUAAACCAGUCCGCCUGUCCAGUCACCAUGUUGAGAAUGGAGACAGCAGCAGCACAGAGUCCAGACAGGUGAAGAGUAAGAAGAGGAGGAAAACAAACACCUCAUCAGACAGAGACAGAAGCAGCUCCAAGGAAUCAUCAAGGAGUUCCUCAGCUGCAGUGGCACAGACAUCUGAGAGCGAAGCCUCAUCACACCAAGGCAGCACCAGCAGGAGGAUGAGGAGGAACAUCGGUGGACUCGUCCCUGGAUUACCAUUGACGACAAAGAGCGAGACAGAAGACAAAGAAAGACGAGGGAGUCGUUCUGUCAGUGAAUCUCAAACUGAAGAUACAGCGAGUCAGAGUCCUUCGAACCAAUCAGAGAGCAGCAGUGGGGACAAUUCACCAUCCCAGUCUGAGGAGUCAAGUGGUGGAAGUGACAUGGCUGUCAAAGGGAAAGACAAUGAAAAACUGGAAGAAGAGGUAGACAGCAAAAGUGAUGGAAAUGAAGAAGAGAGCAACAUGGAAGAGGACAAUGAGGAUGAAGAAACGUCACCAGAGGAUGAGAGGGAGCACAAAUCCGAUGUAGACCAAGGUUGUGAUGACAUCUCAGACAAGCUGGACAAAAAAACGGCUUUGGCUUUGUUGCAAGAUGAACAUAAAGACGAGGAUGAGAGAGAUGAUGAUGAUGUAGAAGAGGAGGAAGAUGAGUCAGAUGCAGAGGAGCAAAAGAGUGAGGCAGAAGAGAGAGAUGCAGAUGACAUCAUUUCACCCCAGCAAAGAAAACCCAGGGUGCACUUUAUUCCACAAGAGGGUUCUGAAGAUGACGGCAAGGUCGUAAGCAGAACAGGAACAUCUAAGGACUCAAGUGAACUUGGCGAUGAUGACAUUGAGGAUCUCCUUGCACCUCAACCUCAGGCAAAUAUAAGAAGAAAUGGACACGAAGCAGUAGAGGAACCCAAAGGUCGGGCAACCACAGGUAUCAAGAUCAGACAAACAAUGGUUUUAUUUUGUGGAUGGUCAUUUCAGGUUUUAUUUUCCAGUGGUUUGCAAAGUGGAAAUUUUCCAAGCGGACCAGCAAACAGACUCUGACGAGUUUGACCAUUUUUAUGACUGAUUCCUACCUACCUCAUACUACAAGGAGCACGCCUACUUAAUAGCUGCACAGUGGGUUUUUCUGCUACAGGAACUGGACGACUACUCUGCAAAGAGAGUAAGAUGACAGCUGCCAAAUAUAGAGAAAUUCUUGAAGAGGACUUGCUCGAUGCCCUCAGACUAGGGCAUCGAUUCACUUUGCAACACGACAAUGACCCAAAUCACACAGCCAAGGAGUGGCUUCAGGAGCAUCCUGUGAAUGUCACUGAGUGGCCCAACCAGAGCCCAGACUUGAAUCCAAUCGAACAUCUCUGGAAAGACCUAAAAAUGGCUGUCCACUGACGCUGCCCAUCCAACCUGACUGACCUUGAGAGGAUGUGCAGAGAAGAAUGGUAGAAAAUGCCCCAAAACAGGUGUGCCGAGCUCAUAGAGACAUACUCAAGGAGACUUGAGGUUGUGAUUGCUGCCAAAGGUGCUUCAACAAACUAUUAAGUCAAGGGUGUGAAUACUUACUACUAUACUUAAAUAGUGUUACUUACUAUUGUUAACAUUUUUUUAUAAAUUGCCACAAAUGUCUGAAAAUGUGUUUUUACUUUGUCAUUAUAGGCUAUUUUAUGUAGAUUUUUUGUUUAAGGAAAACAAUACGCAAAUCAGCUUUAGAAUAAGUCUAACAGCAAAAUGUGGAAAACGUGAAUGGGUGCGACUACUUUCUGGUGGCAUUGUACAUUUACUGGCUAGAAAUGAGGUACAUAUGAUGAUCUAAAGAGAUUAAAUAUACAAGUGCCAUUAAAAAAAAUCCUAAUUCCAAAUAAAAUGUUUCGUUUGAUAAUGUCAUAACUAGAUUUAGUAUUGUGGUGGCAAUAUGCAUUGCUGAACAACUUGCCCUUUGAUAGUCCAAAAUUUAAGCGACAAUCAGUCGUCUCUGGCCAAAAUAAUCAUAGAUGUAGGUAUAACCUAAUAUCACAGUCAAUUAAUAAACAUUACAACAACAUAAAACUAGUAACCAGUGACAAUAAGUAGUGAUUUAUUGCUGCUGUAUGACAACAUUUCAGUGUCAAAACACAGUGGUCUGUAUAAAGAUGAUCAGACUCACAUUUACUGUAUAAAAAAUACCAGUUGGGUGGAACGGUUAUUGGUAAAACAUAU